ACACACUGGUCCUGUGGACAGGAGGAGGCCCAGGACCGCAGAAGGAGUGGAAAACUUGAAGAAUGAGAGUGGGUUCUGAAUUCGGUGAAGCGUUCAUCCUCACAGUAUUACACCUGCCUGCUGUAGUUCAACGAAAUAAAGAGAUCCCGGGCCAAUGACGGAACCCUCCACGAGGCCUCUCCCUCUCCUCCUGAAUCCUGCCGUCCCUUCGGACCCCUUGAUGCCCAUCUCGGCAAUUCCCACGGGAGCCGCCAACGUACCUGCCCGACGAUCUGCCUCGCUGCUGAAGACUCUCUCCACUGGUCCCCUGUGAGUGCCGGCCCCAUCGCUCCCGUCUAGCGCACGGAGCUUCUGCUUCCUUCAGAGAAACACUCAGAGAAAAUUGAACGUCAGGAGACUGGACCGUAUUGAUCUGGAGGACUCGCUCUCUUUCAGGAAGCUGUUUGCAGCAGGCUAUCCUGAGCAGAGAUUCCAGGUCUCGAAGUCUCAGCACCAAGACGCGUUCAGUACUCUCGACAGAAGAUGCCUGAAUUUCCUUGUCAAGGGCAACACGACGUCCUGGAAUCAUCCUCCUUGGCUUGUCGGCUGAUGACUCGUAAUCUAAAAGGACUCUUAAAGAUACGCUACAUUCUACGUCCAUUUUUCCCCAA